ensembl:snRNA U6 U6 spliceosomal RNA
GCAAGUUGUCUCAGCCUGCAUAUACUAAAAUAAUAAUGACAAAGAGAAGAUUAGCACAGGCCCUAUAAAACACUAACAUGUAAAUUUAUGAGACAUUCCAUAUUUUU